UGUGACAUCACACAGGUUCCUCUGAUGCAGCAGCACAGUGGAGAAGCCAUGGAGGAACACAGUAGCACAAGAAAGCCUACCUAUGAGGAAGACAGUGGAAGGAGAAAGUUUACUGCUGAGGAAGACAGUGGAAGGAGAAAGGAGGAAGGCAGUGCAAGGAGAAAGUUUACUGCUGAGGAAGACAGUGCAAGGAGAAAGGCUACUGCUAUGUCCAAACAGGAGAUGGUGUACAUGGUGUCCAUCCUGGAAAAAAAAGAUUAUGACUGCAAAGAGGCAGAGUAUUCAAGGCCGAAUACAAGGAAAAAUAAUAUCUUGGACAUAGUCAUCCAAGGGCUUCACAAGAAGUUUGGAGUAACCAGAUCAAAAGACCAGCUUCGUAAAAGAUGGUCAGAUUUGAAGUUGAGAGAGCGAGAACAACUUCUAAGCAUUAGAAGGAUAAUUAAAAAAAAAACAAAAGCGUAAAAAGUUGCUUUGGACCAGAAAAUGUUCUAGAGGAAGUGCCUCUUCUUCUGUGGGCAAGCCUGAUCCACCAGAGUCAGAGGAUUGUGAGAAGGAUGACAGGGAGGAGAAUAAUGACUCGGAUGACACUGUGACCAUUGAUCCACUUGAGCAGUCCAAAACCUAUGCAACCUCUGAUGCAACAGAAAACCCAGUGGAAGAGUUGAGUGACACAUCUCCUAGCAGCCCAUGCAUUCUAUUAACCAGUACAGAAGAAUACAUUGCACCACAAAAACUACUGUAUCUUUAUACAGAGGGACAGCCAGAUGUUCAAAUUUCAGAAGAGUUUUCCAUUGCAGCAGCAACCAAGGACUCUGAUC